UACGUAGGGCGCAAGCGUUGUCCGGAAUUAUUGGGCGUAAAGAGCUCGUAGGCGGCUUGUCACGUCGGAUGUGAAAGCCCGGGGCUUAACCCCGGGUCUGCAUUCGAUACGGGCAGGCUAGAGUGUGGUAGGGGAGAUUGGAAUUCCUGGUGUAGCGGUGAAAUGCGCAGAUAUCAGGAGGAACACCGGUGGCGAAGGCGGAUCUCUGGGCCAUUACUGACGCUGAGGAGCGAAAGCGUGGGGAGCGAACAGG
rnacentral:rRNA from 1 species